rnacentral:rRNA from 1 species
GGUUAAGCGACUAAGCGUACACGGUGGAUGCCCUGGCAGUCAGAGGCGAUGAAGGACGUGCUAAUCUGCGAUAAGCGUCGGUAAGGUGAUAUGAACCGUUAUAACCGGCGAUUUCCGAAUGGGGAAACCCAGUGUGUUUCGACACACUAUCAUUAACUGAAUCCAUAGGUUAAUGAGGCGAACCGGGGGAACUGAAACAUCUAAGUACCCCGAGGAAAAGAAAUCAACCGAGAUUCCCCCAGUAGCGGCGAGCGAACGGGGAGGAGCCCAGAGCCUGAAUCAGUGUGUGUGUUAGUGGAAGCGUCUGGAAAGGCGCGCGAUACAGGGUGACAGCCCCGUACACAAAAAUGCACAUGCUGUGAGCUCGAUGAGUAGGGCGGGACACGUGGUAUCCUGUCUGAAUAUGGGGGGACCAUCCUCCAAGGCUAAAUACUCCUGACUGACCGAUAGUGAACCAGUACCGUGAGGGAAAGGCGAAAAGAACCCCGGCGAGGGGAGUGAAAAAGAACCUGAAACCGUGUACGUACAAGCAGUGGGAGCCCUGAUUUAUCAGGGUGACUGCGUACCUUUUGUAUAAUGGGUCAGCGACUUAUAUUCUGUAGCAAGGUUAACCGAAUAGGGGAGCCGGAGGGAAACCGAGUCUUAACUGGGCGUUAAGUUGCAGGGUAUAGACCCGAAACCCGGUGAUCUAGCCAUGGGCAGGUUGAAGGUUGGGUAACACUAACUGGAGGACCGAACCGACUAAUGUUGAAAAAUUAGCGGAUGACUUGUGGCUGGGGGUGAAAGGCCAAUCAAACCGGGAGAUAGCUGGUUCUCCCCGAAAGCUAUUUAGGUAGCGCCUCGUGAAUUCAUCUCCGGGGGUAGAGCACUGUUUCGGCAAGGGGGUCAUCCCGACUUACCAACCCGAUGCAAACUGCGAAUACCGGAGAAUGUUAUCACGGGAGACACACGGCGGGUGCUAACGUCCGUCGUGAAGAGGGAAACAACCCAGACCGCCAGCUAAGGUCCCAAAGUCAUGGUUAAGUGGGAAACGAUGUGGGAAGGCCCAGACAGCCAGGAUGUUGGCUUAGAAGCAGCCAUCAUUUAAAGAAAGCGUAAUAGCUCACUGGUCGAGUCGGCCUGCGCGGAAGAUGUAACGGGGCUAAACCAUGCACCGAAGCUGCGGCAGCGACACUGUGUGUUGUUGGGUAGGGGAGCGUUCUGUAAGCCUGUGAAGGUGGCCUGUGAGGGUUGCUGGAGGUAUCAGAAGUGCGAAUGCUGACAUAAGUAACGAUAAAGCGGGUGAAAAGCCCGCUCGCCGGAAGACCAAGGGUUCCUGUCCAACGUUAAUCGGGGCAGGGUGAGUCGACCCCUAAGGCGAGGCCGAAAGGCGUAGUCGAUGGGAAACAGGUUAAUAUUCCUGUACUUGGUGUUACUGCGAAGGGGGGACGGAGAAGGCUAUGUUGGCCGGGCGACGGUUGUCCCGGUUUAAGCGUGUAGGCUGGUUUUCCAGGCAAAUCCGGAAAACUAAGGCUGAGGCGUGAUGACGAGGCACUACGGUGCUGAAGCAACAAAUGCCCUGCUUCCAGGAAAAGCCUCUAAGCAUCAGGUAACAUCAAAUCGUACCCCAAACCGACACAGGUGGUCAGGUAGAGAAUACCAAGGCGCUUGAGAGAACUCGGGUGAAGGAACUAGGCAAAAUGGUGCCGUAACUUCGGGAGAAGGCACGCUGAUGGUAGGUGAAGCGACUUGCUCGUGGAGCUGAAAUCAGUCGAAGAUACCAGCUGGCUGCAACUGUUUAUUAAAAACACAGCACUGUGCAAACACGAAAGUGGACGUAUACGGUGUGACGCCUGCCCGGUGCCGGAAGGUUAAUUGAUGGGGUCAGCGCAAGCGAAGCUCUUGAUCGAAGCCCCGGUAAACGGCGGCCGUAACUAUAACGGUCCUAAGGUAGCGAAAUUCCUUGUCGGGUAAGUUCCGACCUGCACGAAUGGCGUAAUGAUGGCCAGGCUGUCUCCACCCGAGACUCAGUGAAAUUGAACUCGCUGUGAAGAUGCAGUGUACCCGCGGCAAGACGGAAAGACCCCGUGAACCUUUACUAUAGCUUGACACUGAACACUGGUCCUUGAUGUGUAGGAUAGGUGGGAGGCUUUGAAGUGUGGACGCCAGUCUGCAUGGAGCCGUCCUUGAAAUACCACCCUUUAAUGGCUGGUGUUCUAACGUUGGCCCGUAAUCCGGGUUGCGGACAGUGUCUGGUGGGUAGUUUGACUGGGGCGGUCUCCUCCUAAAGAGUAACGGAGGAGCACGAAGGUUGGCUAAUCCUGGUCGGACAUCAGGAGGUUAGUGCAAUGGCAUAAGCCAGCUUGACUGCGAGCGUGACGGCGCGAGCAGGUGCGAAAGCAGGUCAUAGUGAUCCGGUGGUUCUGAAUGGAAGGGCCAUCGCUCAACGGAUAAAAGGUACUCCGGGGAUAACAGGCUGAUACCGCCCAAGAGUUCAUAUCGACGGCGGUGUUUGGCACCUCGAUGUCGGCUCAUCACAUCCUGGGGCUGAAGUAGGUCCCAAGGGUAUGGCUGUUCGCCAUUUAAAGUGGUACGCGAGCUGGGUUUAGAACGUCGUGAGACAGUUCGGUCCCUAUCUGCCGUGGGCGCUGGAGAACUGAGGGGGGCUGCUCCUAGUACGAGAGGACCGGAGUGGACGCAUCACUGGUGUUCGGGUUGUCAUGCCAAUGGCACUGCCCGGUAGCUAAAUGCGGAAGAGAUAAGUGCUGAAAGCAUCUAAGCACGAAACUUGCCCCGAGAUGAGUUCUCCCUGAGACUUUAAGUCUCCUGAAGGAACGUUGAAGACGACGACGUUGAUAGGCCGGGUGUGUAAGCGCAGCGAUGCGUUGAGCUAACCGGUACUAAUGAACCGUGAGGCUUAACCUU